GGAGAUGCCCAACUCGGAGAGGGUGGAGAGGAGGAUCUGAUGGUUCACAGUAUCGAAGGCAGCCGAUAGGUCUAGAAGGAUGAGAGCAGAGGAGAGAGAGUUAGCUUUAGCAGUGCGGAGCGCCUCCGUGAUACAGAGAAGAGCAGUCUCAGUUGAAUGACUAGUCUUGAAACCUGACUGAUUUGGAUCAGGAAGGUCAUUCUGAGAGAGAUAGCGGGAGAGCUGGCCAAGGACGGCACGUUCAAGAGUUUUGGAGAGAAAAGAAAGAAGGGAUACUGGUCUGUAGUUGUUGACAUCGGAGGGAUCGAGUGUAGGUUUUUUCAGAAGGGGUGCAACUCUCGCUCUCUUGAAGACGGAAGGGACGUAGCCAGCGGUCAGGGAUGAGUUGAUGAGCGAGGUGAGGUAAGGGAGAAGGUCUCCGGAAAUGGUCUGGAGAAGAGAGGAGGGGAUAGGGUCGAGCGGGCAGGUUGUUGGGCGGCCGGCCGUCACAAGACGCGAGAUUUCAUCUGGAGAGAGAGGGGAGAAAGAGGUCAGAGCACAGGGUAGGGCAGUGUGAGCAGAACCAGCGGUGUCGUUUGACUUGUUUUGUCUAGUUUAUUAACCAGGCUAGAGAUACACAACUCCAACACCAGUAUUCACAACUGCUUAGAACAGGGUUGUCCAACCCUGUUCCUGGAGAGAUACCCUCCUGUAGGUUUUAACUCCAACCCUGUUCCUGGAGAGCUACCCUCCUGUAGGUUUUCACUCUAACCCUGUUCCUGAAGAGCUGCCCUCCUGUAGGUUUUAACUCUAACCCUGUUCCUGGAGAUAUACCCUCCUGUAGGUUUUCACUCCAACCCUGUUCCUGGAGAUAUACCCUCCUGUAGGUUUUAACUCCAACCCUGUUCCUGGAGAGCUACCCUCCUGUAGGUUUUAACUCAAACCCUGUUCCUGGAGAGAUACCCUCCUGUAGGUUUUAACUCAAACCCUGUUCCUGGAGAGAUACCCUCCUGUAGGUUUUAACUCCAACCCUAUUCCUGAAGAGCUGCCCUCCUGUAGGUUUUAACUCUAACCCUAUUCCUGAAGAGCUGCCCUCCUGUAGGUUUUAACUCUAACCCUAUUCCUGAAGAGCUGCCCUCCUGUAGGUUUUAACUCAAACCCUGUUCCUGAAGAGCUACCCUCCUGUAGGUUUUAACUCAAACCCUGUUCCUGGAGAGAUACCCUCCUGUAGGUUUUAACUCCAACCCUAUUCCUGAAGAGCUGCCCUCCUGUAGGUUUUAACUCAAACCCUGUUCCUGAAGAGCUACCCUCCUGUAGGUUUUAACUCAAACCCUGUUCCUGGAGAGAUACCCUCCUGUAGGUUUUAACUCCAACCCUAUUCCUGAAGAGCUGCCCUCCUGUAGGUUUUAACUCCAACCCUGUUCCUGGAGAGCUACCCUCCUGUAGGUUUUAACUCCAACCCUGUUCCUGGAGAGCUACCCUCCUGUAGGUUUUAACUCAAACCCUGUUCCUGGAGAGAUACCCUCCUGUAGGUUUUAACUCAAACCCUGUUCCUGGAGAGAUACCCUCCUGUAGGUUUUAACUCAAACCCUGUUCCUGGAGAGCUGCCCUCCUGUAGGUUUUAACUCAAACCCUGUUCCUGGAGAGCUACCCUCCUGUAGGUUUUAACUCCAACCCUGUUCCUGGAGAGCUACCCUCCUGUAGGUUUUAACUCAAACCCUGUUCCUGGAGAGAUACCCUCCUGUAGGUUUUAACUCAAACCCUGUUCCUGGAGAGAUACCCUCCUGUAGGUUUUAACUCCAACCCUAUUCCUGAAGAGCUGCCCUCCUGUAGGUUUUAACUCCAACCCUGUUCCUGGAGAGCUACCGUCCUGUAGGUUUUAACUCAAACCCUGUUCCUGGAGAGAUACCCUCCUGUAGGUUUUAACUCAAACCCUGUUCCUGGAGAGAUACCCUCCUGUAGGUUUUAACUCAAACCCUGUUCCUGGAGAGCUACCCUCCUGUAGGUUUUAACUCAAACCCUGUUCCUGGAGAGAUACCCUCCUGUAGGUUUUAACUCAAACCCUGUUCCUGGAGAGAUACCCUCCUGUAGGUUUUAACUCAAACCCUGUUCCUGGAGAGAUACCCUCCUGUAGGUUUUAACUCCAACCCUGUUCCUGGAGAGCUACCCUCCUGUAGGUUUUAACUCAAACCCUGUUCCUGGAGAGCUACCAUCCUGUAGGUUUUAACUCCAACCCUGUUCCUGGAGAGAUACCCUCCUGUAGGUUUUAACUCAAACCCUGUUCCUGGAGAGAUACCCUCCUGUAGGUUUUAACUCCAACCCUGUUCCUGGAGAGCUACCCUCCUGUAGGUUUUAACUCAAACCCUGUUCCUGGAGAGAUACCCUCCUGUAGGUUUUAACUCCAACCCUGUUCCUGGAGAGCUACCCUCCUGUAGGUUUUAACUCCAACCCUGUUCCUGGAGAGCUACCCCCUGUAGGUUUUAACUCAAACCCUGUUCCUGGAGAGACACCAUCCUGUAGGUUUUAACUCUAACCCUGUUCCUGGAGAGACACCAUCCUGUAGGUUUUAACUCUAACCCUGUUCCUGGAGAGACACCAUCCUGUAGGUUUUAACUCAAACCCUGUUCCUGGAGAGACACCAUCCUGGAGGUUUUAACUCCAACCCUGUUCCUGGAGAGAUACCAUCCUGUAGGUUUUCACUCCAACCCUGUUCCUGGAGAGACACCAUCCUGUAGGUUUUAACUCAAACCCUGUUCCUGGAGAGCUACCCGCCUGUAGGUUUUAACUCUAACCCUGUUCCUGGAGAGACACCAUCCUGUAGGUUUUAACUCUAACCCUGUUCCUGGAGAGACACCAUCCUGUAGGUUUUAACUCUAACCCUGUUCCUGGAGAGACACCAUCCUGUAGGUUUUAACUCAAACCCUGUUCCUGGAGAGACACCAUCCUGGAGGUUUUAACUCCAACCCUG